rnacentral:rRNA from 1 species
GUAGGUGGCAAGCGUUGUCCGGAAUUAGUUGGGACGUAAAGCGCGCGCAGGCGGUCUUAAGUCUGAUGUGAAAGCCCACGGCUCAACCGUGGAGGGUCAUUGGAAACUGGAGAACUUGAGUACAGAAGAGGAAAGCGGAAUUCCACGUGUAGCGGUGAAAUGCGUAGAGAUGUGGAGGAACACCAGUGGCGAAGGCGGCUUUCUGGUCUGUAACUGACGCUGAGGCGCGAAAGCGUGGGGGAGCAAACAGGAUUAGAUACCCUGGUAGUCCACGCCGUAAACGAUGAGUGCUAAGUGUUAGGGGGUUUCCGCCCUUAGUGCUGCAGCUAACGCAUUAAGCACUCCGCCUGGGAGUACGGCCGCAAGGCUG